rnacentral:rRNA from 1 species
CCAGACUCCUACGGGAGGCAGCAGUGGGGGAUAUUGCACAAUGGGGGGAACCCUGAUGCAGCGACGCCGCGUGGGUGAAGGAGCGUUUCGGCGCGUAAAGCCCUAUCGGCAGGGAAGAAGGAGGACGGUACCUGACUAAGAAGCCCCGGCUAACUACGUGCCAGCAGCCGCGGUAAUACGUAGGGGGCGAGCGUUAUCCGGAUUCACUGGGUGUAAAGGGAGCGUAGACGGCCAAGCAAGCCAGGGGUGAAAGCCCGGGGCCCAACCCCGGGACUGCCCUUGGAACUGCUUGGCUGGAGUGCGGGAGGGGCAGGCGGAAUUCCUGGUGUAGCGGUGAAAUGCGUAGAUAUCAGGAGGAACACCGGCGGCGAAGGCGGUUUACUGGACCACAACUGACGCUGAGACACGAAAGCGUGGGGAGCAAACAGGAUUAGAUACCCCGGUAU